rnacentral:rRNA from 1 species
UACGUAGGGGGCAAGCGUUGUCCGGAAUCAUUGGGCGUAAAGCGCGUGUAGGCGGUUCGGUAAGUCCGCUGUGAAAGUCGGGGGCUCAACCCUCGAAAGCCGGUGGAUACUGUCGGACUAGAGUGCGGAAGAGGCGAGUGGAAUUCCUGGUGUAGCGGUGAAAUGCGCAGAUAUCAGGAGGAACACCAGUUGCGAAGGCAGCUCGCUGGGACGUUACUGACGCUGAGACGCGAAAGCGUGGGGAGCAAACAGG